GCCAGCAGCAUACCACCAUGCAUCCCACAGCUGGCUUGCUUCUGAAGCUAAGCAGCGUUGGUCCUGGUCAGUCCCUGGAUGGGAGACCGGAUGGGAGACCAGAUGCUGCUGGAA
rnacentral:rRNA from 1 species